rnacentral:rRNA from 1 species
UCGAGGGGCAGCGGGGGAGUAGCAAUACUCCCGCCGGCGACCGGCGCACGGGUGAGUAACACGUAUGAAACCUGCCCGUAGCAGGGGGAUAAGCGGAAGAAAUUCCGUCUAAUACCGCGUAACAACCCAUGGAGGCAUCUCUGUGGGUUUAAAGGAAGCGAUUCCGGCUACGGAUGGUCAUGCGUCGCAUUAGCUUGUUGGCGGGGUAACGGCCCACCAAGGCGACGAUGCGUAGGGGUUCUGAGAGGAAGGUCCCCCACACUGGUACUGAGACACAGACCAGACUCCUACGGGAGGCAGCAGUGAGGAAUAUUGGUCAAUGGCCGCAGGGCUGAACCAGCCAAGUCGCGUGAGGGAUGACGGUCCUAUGGAUUGUAAACCUCUUUUGUCAGGGAGCAAAGGGCGCCACGUGUGGCGCUUUGCGAGUACCUGAAGAAAAAGCAUCGGCUAACUCCGUGCCAGCAGCCGCGGUAAUACGGAGGAUGCGAGCGUUAUCCGGAUUUAUUGGGUUUAAAGGGUGCGCAGGCGGAAUGUCAAGUCAGCGGUAAAAUUUCGGGGCUCAACCCCGUCGUGCCGUUGAAACUGGCGUUCUUGAGUGAGCGAGAAGUAUGCGGAAUGCGUGGUGUAGCGGUGAAAUGCAUAGAUAUCACGCAGAACUCCGAUUGCGAAGGCAGCAUACCGGCGCUCAACUGACGCUCAUGCACGAAAGCGUGGGUAUCGAACAGGAUUAGAUACCCUGGUAGUCCACGCAGUAAACGAUGAAUACUAACUGUCCGGGUAGAAUGAUGCCUGGGUGGUACAGCGAAAGCGUUAAGUAUUCCACCUGGGGAGUACGCCGGCAACGGUGAAACUCAAAGGAAUUGACGGGGGCCCGCACAAGC